rnacentral:lncRNA from 1 species
UUAGAGCAUAAGCUUUCGUGGACUACAGCCCACUUCUUCGGAUGCAUAUAGAGUGGAAUAAAUAUUGAGGAGAUAUAUAUAUAUGCAUCCGAAGAAGUGGGCUGUAGUCCACGAAAGCUUAUGCUCUAAUAAAUUUGUUAGUCUCUAAGGUGCCACAAGUACUCCUGUUCUUUUUGCGGAUACAGACUAACACGGCUGCUACUCUGAAACCUAUAAUAAUUGAAGGCAUUUUCAAGAGUGAGAUAAUAAUCUUGAGGAGUGCAAAUCAUCCUAAUGAUGGGAACACAUCCUUUACUGCAGAAAUAUCUGACAUUAUUUCCAACAGAGCUCAUAUCCCAGUGGUACUAAGAAGAGAGUGAAAUACUGUCAUGGACGCUAUCAUAGACAAAUCUCAGUGUUUUAGGUGGAAACUUCAGGCAUUUGCAAACCAUCCAAUAUUGGAUAUUGGACUAGAGGAUUUUUGGAGAAUGCAGCAACCUAGGAAGUGUGACUACACAUUUCUCUAAAGUUCAUGUCUUUAAUUCCAGAUUAGAUUUUUUUAUGAUAUCUAAGGUGUUCGCUCCUGCAUGUCUGAAGGCGGAAGUUGGUAAUAUCAUCAUCUCUGAUCAUGCUCCAAUUUCUCUUCACAUAUAUACUGGUCAUAGUGCUACAGGAUCCUCAAAAUGGAAGUUAAACACUCAUCUACUUAGAGACCCUGAAUUUCUUCAGAUGAUUGAAACAUCCAUUAUCAACUUCCUGAAGAAAAAUAAAAUUACUGUCUCCUCUACUACAACUUUAUGGGAAGCACUCAAGGCUACCUUAAGGGUAGAAUACAUAAAAAUUGCAUCUAAAAAGAAGAAAAAAGGGAAUAAAUUACUUAAUUUUUGGCAGAGGAGAUUGCUAAAUUUGAAAAAAAAAAAACCCCACACUCAGAAUAAUGAGCUGCUACACUCACUCAUUACCUCAAAAUACAAAUGCAAUGAAUGUAUGUCUAUCCAGAUUGAAUUCAAGCUUAAUAAAGUUAAACAGAGGCAUUUUAAAUGGGGGGGGAUAAAGUGGGCAAACCCCUACCAAGGAAAAUUAAAAUAGCUUCAUACACUAACACUAUAUCCUCUUUGCUACAGGAUAGUAGUCUUUUUGUACUUUAUGAAGAUUUUUAUGAAUAGUGACUUUGAUUCCAAUCAAUUUGACCAGAUUAUGGAGGGAGUACCCCUAAAUACAUUGCCGAUACCUCUCUCUACUAGAAGUUAAGCAAGCAAUUGGCACGGCAAACCACCUGGGUGCAAUGACUUUCCUGCAGAAUUGUGUGAGACAUUUAUCAAUCAACUAGAGCAUCAGAAGUUUACAAUGAAAUAUUUACAAAAGAUGCUGUCAAAGGACGUAAGGAUGGCAGUUAUUAUCCUAAUUCUAAAAAAAGACAACAUGGUCUUCAUUGUGGUGAUUACCACCCCGUCUCUUUGUUGAACCUACAAAGAUUCUCACUUCACACUUAAGCAACAUUACUCCAUUAGACAUUCAUGCGGACCAGGUGGGUUUUAUUCACAGCAGAUUAGAGUGGACAAUAUUCAGAAGAUACACCAUUUAAUCCGCCAGGCACAGACAACUGAUGUUCCAGCUGCUAUCCUACCGUUAGAUGCUGAAAAGUCCUUCAAACACGUGGAAUGGCUAUAACAACAAACAAUCCUGAGAAAAUUAGGAUUUAAACCUAAAUUUCUUACUUGGAUUGAUAUUACACCUCUACCCCGAUAUAACACGACCCAAUAUAACACGAAUUUGGAUAUAACGUGGUAAAGCAGCACUCCGGGGGCGGGGCAUGGCUGUGCGCUCCAGUGGAUCAAAGCAAGUUCAAUAUAACGUGGUUUCACCUAUAAUGCGGUAAGAUUUUUUGGCUCCCGAGGACAGCGUUAUAUCGGGGUAGAGGUGUAUUUACAAAACACCCUUUGCCACUGUUCUGACAAAUGGUGUUAUCACCUCUACUUUUCAGUUAUGUCGAAUAAUGAGUCAGGGAUGCCCUCUAUCGGCUCUGCUGUUUUACAUAGCCAUGGAAAUGCUAGCAGCAUAUAUCAGAUGCCCUCCAUUGACAGUAUUACAAUUCUGGAUAAAGAAUACAAGAUUAGCCUAUACAUGAAUGAUAUUCUGUUCACUCUCAAGAAUCCCUCUUCUUCGAUUCCACCGCUACUAUCUGCGGUAAACUACUUUGAUGAGAUAUCAGGAUUUUGGAUAAACUGGAACAAGUCUCAAUUGAUGGAUAUUUCUCAUAAAUCAAAUCCAUUUAAAAUACAACCAUUCUCCUUCCAUUCACCCAAAGAGAUGACCUACUUAGGAUCAGGAUACGCUCUGAUUAGUCAAAGAUAGCAUCUGCAAAUAUGGAUGUGAUAUUUACAGAAGUGACAAAAGAUGUGGAGAAAUGGUGUUUACUAGCAAUAUCUUUAUUGAGAAAGAACCUAUUACAAUGAAUGUAGGACCGAGAUUAAUGUAUACAAUUAGCUUAAUUCCACUUAAAUUUCUUGCUUCAACUGUCACAAAAAUAAAUAGAGUUGCACAACAAUUCUGAUGGAGUAU